AGGCUUUGCUGUUUCACUCCACGAUGAGAGGGGUUGUGUAGAGGGAAUGCCGGAUUCCAAACGUGGAUGCAGGCGCCUGGGGCUUGAUCAGCGUCACCUGGAAGGGCGAAAAGGAAAGGCAGUCUGCGUUAAGCAAAGUUGCAGCAGGCUUGGAAGCCCCUGUGGCACAGGGGGAGCAGCCCAGGUUCGGAUGCUAACGCGGAAAAGAGGAGCGGCAGAGCUCACCUUGGCAAGGUCUUCGUCAAACCGACCUCGCUGGCUCCUUCCCCUCACAGAGUAGCAGGGGCUGGCCGAUGUGUAGACUGUGUUGGGCCCCAUCAGCCUGGGCAGCGUGUAGGUGCCAGGACCUGCAGGAGGAGCAGCAGAGAGCGUGUGCGCGAGGGGCUGGAGGAGACGGAAGCAGCAGGGAGGGGCAGCCUGCCCAGCCUGCUGGUGGGAGCAGGAGGGAGGUCUCGCCCCUCUGCCAGUUCCUCCCUAUACUCUGGCACUGGGCCAGCGCCAGCAGCUCCGAGCCUGAGCAGCCGCAGCCGCUGCGGGCCCAGAGGUGUUGGUCGUGCAAGAAAGCUUGCGGCCCCAGCGCCGCGUCCUGCCGCGCAGGCUGUGCAGUAGGCCCGCUGCUGGUGCUGAGCAGCAGCCCGUCCCUGCGGGAUGCUCAGGCUGAAGGGUCUGCCUUUGCCAGGGUCAGCGUACCUGGAGGGUGGUCUGUCCGGAGGGGCUCCCGCCGGAAGGCCAUGGACUGCACCGGUGGGCACUUGAAGACGUGCCUGUUGGCUGCCUCGGUGCGGUAGUCACCUGGGGCGGAAGAGAAGAGGAAGAAAGCCGUGAAGCGCCGGUCUUCUUCUUCUGCAACCGCACAGGCACUGUCCCGAGGAAAGGGUCUUCUCAAGAGCUGCAGAAUUGCCGCUGGGGGACACAGGCAGCACGCGGGGACGCUCUUCUGUGCCCCGCCGCUAUGCCCUGCCUUGCUGUCCCUCCCGUCAGCCCCCUGCCGCUUGUUCUUUUUGGACACGGGGUCCUUGUGCCCUCGGCCCGUGGCCCUGGGCAGCUGUCCUUCUCCGAGGGCGUUUAUCGCUGCUCAGAGCGGUUUGCGUUCUCUCAAAAAAGACCUACAGCUCCAUCAGGGCGCGAGCUGGCCCCGGGCAAACGCGCCGCCCGCUCGUCUUGUCUGGGUGAAGUGCUGCACAAGUGGUACUCACUUGGUCCGGGAGUGACGGUGGUCUUCGUCGCGGGUCGUCCCCGGAGCUGGGCGCCCGGAGCCACGUACUUCCCGUUCCUGGUGAUGGCGGGCUCCACAAAGUAGCAGGGACCUGGCCCGCAGCUCCCUGCCGCAGGCGGUUUGGUCCCUCUAAACGUGUAGGCGGGGGCACGGGCUUUGGUGGGGCUGUGGCCCACAUAACCUAGGAGGAAAAGCAGAAGAGAGCACACCCCUGUGCAGCUGCACGUCUCAAGCUCCGUUGGAACAGGCGCAGUUAGGCGCCGGGCCCUGGCCCCGACAUUCCCUUCCCGCGUGACUUCUUCCUCCAAGAGCCCUGGAGGCGAGCUGUGCCGGGCCUCGGAGCGCACAAGAGUCAGUCCCUGAGUGCAAACGGCUGCGCGAGUGCCUUGCAAAGUCACCGCAAAAAGACAGCGGAGUUUUGGCCAGCACGCUGCCUGUACCCGCACCACGCGUGCAGGCACUCCACAGCGAGAGCCCCCUAAGGGUCAAUUGUUCUGCAAGACCCCGUAACGCCUCUCUACAGCUGCAAAGCUGAGUCUGCGCUGGCCAGAAGCGGGCCCCUUUUUCCCCGGGCCACAAGGAGCAGCGCCAGCGGCACCGGCCUUCCUCGGCCAGGCCUGGCUCGCGGCUGCGCCAGGGAGCCAGGAGGCUCUGACAGAACGGGGAAAGGCUCGGGAGCUGCUCUGCCCCGCCAUGUCCCCGGUGCGCCUCACGCCCUGGGGAUGGUGGCUGUACCUGUUGUCCCCGGGAUGGAGUACUGGGGCCCGGGGCUGGGGAACUGGGCCGAGAUGAGGCCGCGUGGGCGAUGAGGUCUCCAGGUCCCCACCCAGGCUCCGUCCAUGCUGGCAGGCAUGUGCCUCCAAACCUAAAGGCAAGAACAGAGGAGUUACUGACGGGCUGCCCCAACAGAGGCCGCAGGUGAGCUUUGCUUCCCGCCCCCCGCGUCUCCUCUGCUCAGCCGCAAGCUGUCCGCCACGUGGCUUGCAGCUCCUGAGCCGGAAGGGCCGGCAGCAGUUUCUCCCGCUCACUGCCAGUCCUGCCAGUCUCGUGCUGCAUGCCCCUCGCGCACACCGGAGCUCAGCCCGCACCCUGCAGCUGGGCUCUGCAGCCUGACGUGUGCAGGAGCUCUCCCUCACCUCUCUGAGCCUUGGAGGACGAGCGCGAUGAGGCUGAGCUAGUCUGCUGCUGGGGCUGCUCUCAGGCACAGGGCACGGCGAGCGGCUGCGGGCAGCACAGCUCACAAAUGAGGCGCCUGGAGCCAGCGGCCAGCUGUCCUUGGGGAGGGCCCGGCGUCGUCAUGGCAAUGCAUUGUGACAGCACACGGGCUCCGGGUGAUGUCAUCUGUGCUGUGACAUCUCCUGGCUGGCCUGGAGCCACGCCCGCCACGCCUUUUCGGCCUCGCACCCCAACCAGUACAAAGCCGUAGCGCACGCUGCCGACACCUGCAGAUGGACUGAGCUCUCACUUCUAGCCACGUGCCGCCCGGGGCUCCUGAGGCUCGGUCAGCGUCACCUGCAAGGGAGAGAUUACGUUACUUCGAACCUACUGGAACAUUUCUGAGAAUGACACUCUGUUCUUUGGAGCUCUGUGUGUAUAUAUGUAUAUAUAAAAAUAAAUAUACGAGAGCCCUAAAAGCACA